CCUACGGGACGCUGCAGUGGGGAAUAUUGCGCAAUGGGCGAAAGCCUGACGCAGCGACGCCGCGUGAGGGAUGAAGUAUUUCGGUAUGUAAAGCUCUAUCAGCAGGGAAGAAAAUGACGGUACCUGACUAAGAAGCCCCGGCUAACUACGUGCCAGCAGCCGCGGUAAUACGUAGGGGGCAAGCGUUAUCCGGAUUUACUGGGUGUAAAGGGAGCGUAGACGGCGGUGCAAGCCAGAUGUGAAAGCCCGGGGCUCAACCCCGGGACUGCAUUUGGAACUGUGCUGCUAGAGUGUCGGAGAGGCAGGCGGAAUUCCUAGUGUAGCGGUGAAAUGCGUAGAUAUUAGGAGGAACACCAGUGGCGAAGGCGGCCUGCUGGACGAUGACUGACGUUGAGGCUCGAAAGCGUGGGGAGCAAACAGGAUUAGAUACCCUGGUAGUC
rnacentral:rRNA from 1 species